rnacentral:rRNA from 1 species
UACCGCGGUUAGACGAGAGGCCCAAGUUGGAUAGCCCAACGGCGUAAAGUGUGGUUAAGGAGAAAUAAACAACUAGGGCUGAACGUCCCCCAAGCAGUUUAACGCUUAUGGAGAUACGAAACCCACCUACGAAAGUGGCCCUAACUGACCCUGAUUCCACGAAAGCUACAGAA